AAAAAAGUAUAUUUCCAGUAUAUACUUUGAUCUGAGGCAAUAUUAAUUAUUCAACAAACGAUCAAAAAAUAUUGUUGCAUCAACCUAAAAAAUUACAGACUAAGUGUUUGAAGAAAGAUUGGAAAUCGUCAAACAGAAAGAUAACCGACGUUAUUAG